rnacentral:rRNA from 1 species
GACGAACGCUGGCGGCGUGCUUAACACAUGCAAGUCGAACGGUAAGGCCCCUUCUGGGGUACACGAUUGGCGAACGGGUGAGUAACACGUGAGCAACCUGCCCUUGACUCUGGAAUAACAGUUUGAAACAGCUGCUAAUACUGGAUAGUCAUCGUCUCCUUCCUGGGGGGUGGGGUAAAGAUCCGGCGGUCAGGGAUGGGCUCGCGGCCUAUCAGCUUGUUGGUGAGGUAAUGGCUCACCAAGGCUUCGACGGGUAGCCGGCCUGAGAGGGCGACCGGCCACACUGGGACUGAGAUACGGCCCAGACUCCUACGGGAGGCAGCAGUGGGGAAUAUUGCACAAUGGGCGCAAGCCUGAUGCAGCAACGCCGCGUGCGGGAUGACGGCCUUCGGGUUGUAAACCGCUUUCAGUAGGGACGAAGGGUGACUGACGGUACCGACAGAAGAAGGACCGGCUAACUACGUG